rnacentral:misc_RNA from 1 species
UCCGAGGUCACCUGGAAGAAUGGUUGGAAAACGUCGGCAGGCGCCGGCCAAUCCUACAGAGCAUGUGACAAAGCCCCAUACGCUCGAGGAUCGGACGCGGUGCCGCCGCUGCCUUUCGGGCCCGUCCCCCCGGAGAGGGGGACGGCGACCCAACACACAAGCCGGGCUUGAGGGCAGCAAUGACGCUCGGACAGGCAUGCCCCCCGGAAUACCAGGGGGCGCAAUGUGCGUUCAAAGACUCGAUGAUUCACUGAAUUCUGCAAUUCACAUUAGUUAUCGCAUUUCGCUGCGUUCUUCAUCGAUGCCGGAACCAAGAGAUCCAUUGUUGAAAGUUUUAACUGAUUGCAUUCAAUCAACUCAGACUGCACGCUUUCAGACAGUGUUCGUGUUGGGGUCUCCGGCGGGCACGGGCCCGGGGGGCAGAGGCGCCCCCCCGGCGGCCGACAAGCGGCGGGCCCGCCGAAGCAACAGGGUACAAUAGACACGGAUGGGAGGUUGGGCCCAAAGGACCCGCACUCGGUAAUGAUCCUUCCGCAGGUUCAC